rnacentral:lncRNA from 1 species
CCCAACCCCCAUGCAUUCUCAUAAAUAUUAUUACAACAUCGUUUGUGUUUAUACAAUAUUAGAUACCAAUAAAAAGAAGAAUCGACUAAACUAAAAGGGAAAAACAUAAUUCCUCUCAAAUUUUCGAGCAACUCUUCAAUUCCCUCAAACCUGUUAAACACCAUGGCAUAGCAUGGUAAGCACAAAGAGACUAACAAAAAUAUCAAGAUAUGAUUACAAACACAAAAUGACACAACAACGAUACAACACACAAAAGUUCAAGUAAUUCCUAGAGACAUGUUUUCUAGCAUCAUCAUAUAAGGUAUUAAAAUUACGUCGUCAGAAAACUUACUGGUUGAAGAUAGCAAAAAAUAAUAGAAAAACUAAAUAAUACCGAAUGUCAGACAUGAAUUGCCACGGAUAGAUUGAGACCAAAACUCUGAAGAUAGAAAUGCAACUCAGAAUAAGAAAAUUAAGUAACUUUGUUCUAUAUGAAAUAUAUAGUGUGUCAAAAGUAUAGAGAAUGUAAGAUGUUGUAGAGAAGAAGAAAUAUCAAUGUCUGUCUUUUGUAUAUAAGAGAGUAGAGAGGAUUAUCUCCGAUGUCCGUUAACAAAAAGAAGGGGGGAAUUUAUAUAGUGAAAAGUCAGGAAAAAAAAUGAAGGUAGAACAUUUCAAAAUCUUUAAAUUAAUAAAGUAAAUCAAAUAAUAUCGUAGAUUAUGUCCAAAUUACCAAAAAUAAUAAAGUGAAUCAAAUAAUAUCAUAAAUUAGGUAAAGAAUGUCAAAAAUAAAAUGAUGAUAAAGUUGUCCUAAUUAAAAACAAGGUAAGAAAAUCAAUCAAAAAGGAUCAUAGAGAAAUCAAUUAAAAUCACUUAAGUCAAUACUUACCAUAACAAUAAAAUUAUCCAACAAAAUACCACAAUAAUAGAGUUGUCCAGCACAAGUCAUGGAAAAAUUUGCCAUACAUGGUAGAAGAUUGCAAUAAAAGGGAAAAAUUAAUUUAUCACGUAAACAUUCUCUUAAUCGUACCAUAUUUAGAUGGCUAACACAGAAUCAGUCAAAACUAACCAUAUCCUAAAAAGUCUGCAAAAAUGUUGUUAUACUUAAUUUAAGCAAAGAUGAAGGCAAUAUGACAAACUUACCAUACUAACAUACAUUUUUUAAUUCUAUUUUAUAAUUCGGAAUGAAAAAUAGAGGUCAGGAAAACAAGUAUCAAAGCAGUCUAUGAUUACUAUUUUCAACAUGAAUUAUGAGAUUAGCAACAAACACUGCAAUAUUGGUUCAUAACACAGACAGAGAUAAAUCCAUAGUUAAAAACUGGGAUUUUUCACAUAUGUUAAUUCCAAGGUGUAAAUAAACAUGAAAUUAAGGAAAUAGAAUUAAGAUUCACAGUCAAAUAUCAUGAAUUCUGGAUGUAUGAAUAUAUCAAAGCAAAAAUAUGAAAUUUAAUGUGUUAAAGACAACAAACCGGACAAUAAUCGCAGUGGUGUUUGUCAAAAAAUUCGCCGGUCAUUAACUUCAGUGAGAGAUUGAUGAUAAAUAGACAGUAGGAAAUGGAGAAGGGUUAUUCGUCGAUCGGGAGAGAAGAGUAAAACAGUGAUGGUUGUUAUGGCGGCUCCAUCGGCUGCUGUUGUUGGUGGCGUUUAGAUCUGGUUUUAUUUACUUUUCAUGGGCCAAGAUGAUGGAGCGAUGGCGAUGGCAUAGAGGCACGACGGCUCGGAAAGAUACUGAGCGGUCGCUGGCUGCUUCACCAGCUGGAGUUUCUGGUUUGCGAAAGUGAUGGGCUCUACCAUCUGGUGGCGUGAGGGCUGCGAUAGAGAGAAAAUAGAGGCACGUUGAUGGAUUGUUUUGCUGGAAAGGGGAAGAGGGAGAGGGGGCCAGCUAGCGACGGCUGGAUUGACUGGUGGCUGGUGAGGAGAUCGCCGGUGGGGGCGGCUGAUUGAUGUUGUCAUUGGUUUCACGUAGAGAGAUAAAGGAAGAAAAGAGAGAUAAUUUUGUAUGGCUGUUUUUUG